ACCAGCGCACAGCUGUGCGUCAGCAUCACCCCUGGACGCGGCCUCCAAGUGCGUUCCCAUGAGGCUGCAAGCGGGAACACCACUGAUGAUGCAAGCCCAGUGGGAACUUCUCUGCAGUGUCGUGGGUGCUCAGGGGGCCUGGGAACGUCACGAAUGCGGAGUGGCCUAAUGUCAUUUGAUCUCAUCAUUAUGCCUUCCAACAACAAGCUGUCUCUACCCCUCUCCCAUCUGAUUCCUUCCCUUAGAGCAUUUCCUAAGAAUAUGGGUGGGAAUGAUGGGGAGGAGACCCUUCCUAUGUCCAUGCAGAAUCUACCUAAGUGGAUAAAUGAGUACCAUGCAAAAGUGCCUGGAUUAUGGUGAAUGUUUCCCUAGCCCUGCCGCCAAGUUUCUGAGGAGUUUACUGACCAGGACCACAAGCCAUGCCCAACCUCCUUCCACAAAGCCAUGCCCACACCUCACACCCAUGCACACAGACCAAAGAGUUCACGGCAAAAAAAUCAAUAUGGUCUCUGUCUUUUCUUUCAAGAUCUCAAAUGCUUCCUACUUCAAAGCAUAUCAUCUGUUUAGUUACUGCCUUUCACAAAGACACAAAGUGAGACAUUAAUUUGUGCAGCAUGAACUGAAUUUCCAAAACGUAUACAUGGGGAGUGUACAUGAGAAGAAUCUGUGGAUGCAAUGCAGUAAAGCACACUGCCCUGCCUUGGUGAUGGGAGUAACUGUGCUCAGCGCAUGUGGGUAGAUUCCACUAUUUCAUCACACUCACAUCGACAGCACAAAUGCCAUGCCACAUGAAUCAUUAAGGAGCAUCAUAUUUUCUUUGUACCUACAGCCUCUUCUAACCAUAAUGAAGUGGUUAAAACAAGCAACUGAUAAAAACCGUGGGCCAGUCUAUUAUUUUUACCCAAAUAUACCAUAGCAACCACAGGGAUGAAACAGACAA